rnacentral:lncRNA from 1 species
CGGAGGCUGAAGCCAGUCCCCAGUGAACAUGUCAUCUCAGAUGAAUUUGGAAUGGUCUUUGACAUUCAAAGGGUGCAGCUUUAUGAUGCUGUGCAUGAAGCUUUGCAUAAGGUGCCCCAAGAAAUAAAGAUACUGUCAACAGAAGCAGGGACCAUCAGAGCUAGAAGAAAUCUUAGAAUUGACGUCUGAAACAUUUUCACUGUACCGAUGAGCAAACUGAACUCUAG